rnacentral:rRNA from 1 species
AUUGAACGCUGGCGGCAGGCCUAACACAUGCAAGUCGAACGGUAACAGGAAACAGCUUGCUGUUUCGCUGACGAGUGGCGGACGGGUGAGUAAUGUCUGGGAAACUGCCUGAUGGAGGGGGAUAACUACUGGAAACGGUAGCUAAUACCGCAUAACGUCGCAAGACCAAAGAGGGGGACCCUCGGGCCUCUUGCCAUCGGAUGUGCCCAGAUGGGAUUAGCUUGUUGGUGGGGUAACGGCUCACCAAGGCGACGAUCCCUAGCUGGUCUGAGAGGAUGACCAGCCACACUGGAACGGAGACACGGUCCAGACUCCUACGGGAGGCAGCAGUGGGGAAUAUUGCACAAUGGGCGCAAGCCUGAUGCAGCCAGGCGGCGUGUAUGAAGAAGGCCUUCGGGUUGUAAAGUACUUUCAGCGGGGAGGAAGGGAGUAAAGUUAAUACCUUUGCUCAUUGACGUUACCCGCUGAAGAAGCACCGGCUAACUCCGUG